rnacentral:misc_RNA from 1 species
UCUCCGUUGGUGAACCAGCGGAGGGAUCAUUAGAGAGUUAUCAUGACUCCCGACACCCAUGUGAACAUACCGUACGUUGCCUCGGCAGGCCCGGCCGCGCCCGUCCGGUAGCGCUUCCCGCCCAACGGGGUGGGUGGGAAGCCUACCGGAUCGCGUCGCGUGCCGCGGCCCUGCCGGCGGCCCACGAAACUUUUGUCCCUUUGGCCCUGAAUUCUGAAGAUGGUGGAAAAUAAAAGUUAAAACUUUCAACAACGGAUCUCUUGGUUCUG